rnacentral:rRNA from 1 species
ACAUGCCUACAACAUAACAUUAAUGCAUCGGAUCCCAUUAGAACUUCGUAGUUAAGCGCACUCAGGUUAGAGUAGUACUGGGAUGGGUGACCGCCUAGGAAGUCCUAGUGUCUUACAUGCC